AUGAACGCUAGCGGCAGGCCUAACACAUGCAAGUCGAGGGGCAUCGGGAUUGAAGCUUGCUUCAAUUGCCGGCGACCGGCGCACGGGUGCGUAACGCGUAUGUAACCUACCUAUAACAGGGGCAUAACACUGAGAAAUUGGUACUAAUUCCCCAUAAUAUUCGGAGAGGCAUCUCUCCGGGUUGAAAACUCCGGUGGUUAUAGAUGGACAUGCGUUGUAUUAGCUAGUUGGUGAGGUAACGGCUCACCAAGGCAACGAUACAUAGGGGGACUGAGAGGUUAACCCCCCACACUGGUACUGAGACACGGACCAGACUCCUACGGGAGGCAGCAGUGAGGAAUAUUGGUCAAUGGACGCAAGUCUGAACCAGCCAUGCCGCGUGCAGGAAGACGGCUCUAUGAGUUGUAAACUGCUUUUGUACGAGGGUAAACUCACCUACGUGUAGGUGACUGAAAGUAUCGUACGAAUAAGGAUCGGCUAACUCCGUGCCAGCAGCCGCGGUAAUACGGAGGAUUCAAGCGUUAUCCGGAUUUAUUGGGUUUAAAGGGUGCGUAGGCGGUUUGAUAAGUUAGAGGUGAAAUCCCGGGGCUUAACUCCGGAACUGCCUCUAAUACUGUUAGACUAGAGAGUAGUUGCGGUAGGCGGAAUGUAUGGUGUAGCGGUGAAAUGCUUAGAGAUCAUACAGAACACCGAUUGCGAAGGCAGCUUACCAAACUAUAUCUGACGUUGAGGCACGAAAGCGUGGGGAGCAAACAGGAUUAGAUACCCUGGUAGUCCACGCAGUAAACGAUGAUAACUCGUUGUCGGCGAUACACAGUCGGUGACUAAGCGAAAGCGAUAAGUUAUCCACCUGGGGAGUACGUUCGCAAGAAUGAAACUCAAAGGAAUUGACGGGGGCCCGCACAAGCAGUGGAGUAUGUGGUUUAAUUCGAAGCAACGCGAAGAACCUUACCUGCUCUUGACAUCCCACUGACAGGUCAGUAAUGUGACCCUUUCUUCGGAACAGUGGUGACAGGUGGUGCAUGGUUGUCGUCAGCUCGUGCCGUGAGGUGUCGGGUUAAGUCCCAUAACGAGCGCAACCCCUACCGUUAGUUGCCAUCAGGUCAAGCUGGGCACUCUGGCGGGACUGCCGGUGUAAGCCGAGAGGAAGGUGGGGAUGACGUCAAAUCAGCACGGCCCUUACGUCCGGGGCUACACACGUGUUACAAUGGGGGGUACAGAAGGCAGCUAGCGGGUGACCGUAUGCUAAUCCCAAAAGCCUCUCUCAGUUCGGAUCGAAGUCUGCAACCCGACUUCGUGAAGCUGGAUUCGCUAGUAAUCGCGCAUCAGCCAUGGCGCGGUGAAUACGUUCCCGGGCCUUGUACACACCGCCCGUCACACCAUGGGAGUCGGAUAUGCCCGAAGUCAGUGACCCAACCAUAUGGAGGGAGCUGCCGAAGGUGGAGCCGAUAACUGGGGUG
rnacentral:rRNA from 1 species